CUCCGGUGCCUACUGAGCAGGAACACAGUUGGUUUGUGUACACUGGCUCAGUUCAGCAGGAACAGGAG
rnacentral:pre_miRNA from 1 species